CAUGCCUGUCGGGACCCGAAA
rnacentral:sRNA from 1 species